UACGUAGGGUGCAAGCGUUAAUCGGAAUUACUGGGCGUAAAGCGUGCGCAGGCGGUUAUGCAAGACAGAGGUGAAAUCCCCGGGCUUAACCUGGGAACUGCAUUGGUGACUGGCAGGCUUUGAGUGUGGCAGAGGGAGGUAGAAUUCCACGUGUAGCAGUGAAAUGCGUAGAGAUGUGGAGGAAUACCGAUGGCGAAGGCAGCCUCCUGGGCCAACACUGACGCUCAUGCACGAAAGCGUGGGAGCAAACAGG
rnacentral:rRNA from 1 species